CCUACGGGUGGCAGCAGUGAGGAAUAUUGGUCAAUGGGCGGAAGCCUGAACCAGCCAAGUAGCGUGCGGGAUGAAGGCCCUACGGGUCGUAAACCGCUUUUGCACGGGGAUAACACCCUCCACUUGUGGAGGUCUGCAGGUACCGUGCGAAUAAGGGCCGGCUAAUUCCGUGCCAGCAGCCGCGGUAAUAUGGAAGGCCCGAGCGUUAGCCGGAUUCAUUGGGCUAAAAGGGAGCGUAGGCGGGCGUUCAAGUCAGCUGUAAAAUCGCGCGGCUCAACCGCGCGCCGCAGUUGAAACUGGACGCGUUGAGUUCACAACAGGCAGGCGGAAUUCGUGGUGUAGCGGUGAAAUGCAUAGAUAGCACGAGGAACCCCGAUUGCGAAGGCAGCCUGCCGGGGUGCGACUGACGCUGAGGCUCGAAGGUGCGGGUAGCAAACAGGAUUAGAUACCCUUGUAGUC
rnacentral:rRNA from 1 species